UCAGACGAUGCGUCAUGCAUAUCAAUAAGCGGAGGAAAAGAAACUAACAGGGAUUCCCCUAGUAACGGCGAGUGAAGCGGGAAGAGCUCAAAUUUGAAAUCUUAAAGGGUUUCCCUUUACGAAUUGUAGUUUAAAGAAGUGUUUUCUGUUGAGGUUUUGGUAAAAGUUCUUUGGAAUAGGACAUCAUAGAGGGUGAGAAUCCCGUAUUUGACCUUUACUUUCAACUUUGUGAUACACUUUCAAAGAGUCGGAUUGUUUGGGAAUGCAGUCCAAAAUGGGUGGUAAAUUUCAUCUAAAGCUAAAUAUUGGCGAGAGACCGAUAGCGAACAAGUACCGUGAGGGAAAGAUGAAAAGAACUUUGAAAAGAGAGUUAAACAGUACGUGAAAUUGUCAAAAGGGAAGCGUUUGACACCAGUGUUGUUUUUCUGAAAAUCAAUUAAAGAACUGUUUAUGCUAAGUUGUUUAGACUUUAUCAGCUAUCUGUUUAGUUUUGAGCUUUUCUUUAAUGCACUUUUCAGUUAACAAGUCAACAUCAAUUUCUUUUGCUGUAAAAAAGCUUGAGGAAGGUGGCUUGAGAUUCGUCUUAAGUGUUUAUAGCCUCUUGCCUAUGCAGUCGGAGAGAUUGAGGUCUGCAGCGUAGAUCCUUCGGGGCUAAAUGCAUUUGUGCUAAGUUAUAGCAUUUUAUAGACAACUUGUUGACUAUGAUUUGUCUUGUAGCUUACUCGCUUAUGUUAUUUUACCUACGCUUAGGAUGUUGAGCGCAUGUCUCUCUCU
rnacentral:rRNA from 1 species